rnacentral:rRNA from 1 species
GCAUGAUGCAGUGUGAAAAACUCCGGUGGUAUAAGAUGGACCCGCGUUGGAUUAGCUAGUUGGUGAGGUAACGGCCCACCAAGGCGACGAUCCAUAGCCGACCUGAGAGGGUGACCGGCCACAUUGGGACUGAGACACGGCCCGAACUCCUACGGGAGGCAGCAGUGGGGAAUAUUGCACAAUGGGCGAAAGCCUGAUGCAGCGACGCCGCGUGAGCGAAGAAGUAUUUCGGUAUGUAAAGCUCUAUCAGCAGGGAAGAUAAUGACGGUACCUGACUAAGAAGCACCGGCUAAAUACGUGCCAGCAGCCGCGGUAAUACGUAUGGUGCAAGCGUUAUCCGGAUUUACUGGGUGUAAAGGGAGCGCAGGCGGUGCGGCAAGUCUGAUGUGAAAGCCCGGGGCUCAACCCCGGUACUGCAUUGGAAACUGUCGUACUAGAGUGUCGGAGGGGUAAGCGGAAUUCCUAGUGUAGCGGUGAAAUGCGUAGAUAUUAGGAGGAACACCAGUGGCGAAGGCGGCUUACUGGACGAUAACUGACGCUGAGGCUCGAAAGCGUGGGGAGCAAACAGGAUUAGAUACCCUGGUAGUCCACGCCGUAAACGAUGAGUACUAGGUGUCGGG